UACGAAGGGGGCUAGCGUUGUUCGGAAUUACUGGGCGUAAAGCGCGCGCAGGCGGCUAUCCAAGUCAGUGGUGAAAGCCCGGAGCUCAACUCCGAAACUGCCAUUGAAACUGUUUAGCUUGAGGACGAGAGAGGUGAGUGGAAUUCCCAGUGUAGAGGUGAAAUUCGUAGAUAUUGGGAAGAACACCGGUGGCGAAGGCGGCUCACUGGCUCGUAUCUGACGCUCAGGCGCGACAGCGUGGGGAUCAAACAGG
rnacentral:rRNA from 1 species